rnacentral:rRNA from 1 species
AAAUACUUGCCAGGGAACUCCAAGUGCAUCGGGUAAGACCGAUGCUUUUCUUGACUCUUCAAAGGUCUUGGAAUAAGGGGUGGGUAAGGACGGUGCCAGCCGCCGCGGUAAUACCGGCGCCCCAAGUGGUAGUCGCUUUUAUUGGGCCUAAAACGUCCGUAGCCGGUCUGGUACAUUCGUGGGUAAAUCAACCAGCUCAACUGGUUGAAUUCUGCGAGCACGGCCAGACUUGGGACCGGGAGAGGUGUGGGGUACUCUCAGGGUAGGGGUAAAAUCCUGUCAUCCUGAGAGGACCACCUGUUGCGAAGGCGCCACACUAGAACGGAUCCGACGGUCAGGGACGAAGCCUAGGGGCACGAACCGGAUUAGAUACCCGGGUAGUCCUAGGUGUAAACGCUGUGGACUUGAUGUUGGGGGCGCUCCGAGCGCACUCAGUGUCGAAGCGAAGGUGAUAAGUCCACUGCCUGGGGAGUACGGUCGCAAGGCUGAAACUUAAAGGAAUUGGCGGGGGAGCACCGCAACCUGAGGAUUGUGCGGUUUAAUUGGAUUCAACGCCGGAAAACUCACCAUAGCCGACGGACAUAUGAAGGCCAGCGU